AUGUUAUCUGACUUUGGUAAAAAAAAAAUCUUUCAUUGGUUAUAUUACAAACAUUUUAUUAAAUACUUUAUAUUACAAACAGUUUUCCCUAAUGGUAUUUCAUGAUUCAUGCCUACGCACAAUUGACGAGCCUUGAGUUAUAAUGAUUUAUUCAUAUUUCAGAUCUGGAAAGAGUGGUAUGUGAGCAAGUGCUACCUUCUACUUCUCAAAGGACUGAACAAAAUUUAGGCAGGAAAAUAUCUGCUAGGACCUUUAAGCUCUCCAGACCAGAAAUAAAUGUACGGAUGAAAAUAAUGGCUGUCAAAAAAAAAGAUAAAAAAUAAAAUUUAAAAGCAGACAGCUGAAAUAAAGGCAGCGAAAGUAUGCAGGUCGGCGAUGUCAUUGUACUCCCAGUAAAAAUUUAAUAAAACUUAUAUCCAAUUUCCAAGACAUAGUUUAUCAUAUUCUCAAAGAAAACUUAGAAUUUCAUUAUUUAAAGGAUAUUAUUAAAACGUCUAUUUAUUC